GCGUCUCAGCUCACAAUGAAGGCAGCAAAGUGUUGCCUCCGAAUCCGUUAUGGGGCCUUUUCCUAGAAGACCAGGGGUCUGAAGACAAAAUAGGUUUUGGUUCUUUUCCUCAGAGGGGCCUCCAGAGGUGGGCAAACCAAGGCUCCCAGAGGUCGAGUGAUGCAUAAGUGGCCGAGCCAGGAGGUGAACUUGUCUCUAACUCAGCUUCCAUACGAGUGUGUCAUCUCACCGCUGGGCUCUAGUCCAGAGCCCCAAGGUCCUCUGGAAAUUCGUUUAGUUCUCUGGGGAAGCAUCUUCCACGUACCAACAAUUCACCUGUAAUUCACCUUAUCUGGCUCAGUCCAGGUGUUUCUGAGACUCCCCAGUGAGUAACUUAGGUGUGUUUUUCAUGGUGUCCCCUGUUUCCCUCCUUAUUUCUUGUCAGGGUGGACGGGAACGCUUCUUCCAGAUACCCUGGCUGACCCUCAGAAGCCUUCAAAUGGUCAGGACUUCAUGGGGCCCUUCUGAGACCUGGUAGAGAAAGUCCCCCUGCAGCUUAAAAUGUUCUUCACUUUUAAGACACUGGCCUAUGUUGUGAGUCCUUCCUUUUCUCAAAGACAGCAAACAUGUAUACCCUGCGGAAGACACGGGACCUAGCUUCCACCCAUCGGAUGUAGAAGACUCGGGAAUGCAAAUGUAGGCAGUGUGAGUUAGCGGCUGCGUGAAGGAGAAAGGUGCGCAGCGAGACACAGUGACAGAUUCCACAGUGAACUUGAAAUCGUGCCCUCCAGAGAUGAGGCUUCAUUUUCAUCAAGAGUGAGCUUUCUUGCAAGAGAUGCCUCCAUCCCAAAGACUCCUGGCAGGCCCAUACCUCCCCUACUAGAUGAGCCCAAAUGCCAGCACUGGGGACCCACCUUUGUGCUGCUGCAGACCUGUGGCCUCUCGUCGACGAAGCAGGCACGAUCGCUCCACAGAUGGCUUUCAGACAGAGGAAGGACUCAUUCAAAGUCACAGCCGUGACUCGGGAUUGGCUCCGAUUCUGUGUGGCCACAGCCUGGGGCAUCUCCCCACUCCAGGGGGUCCCUCUAUUUGCCUCAGAGCCAGGGGCACAGAGGCCUCUGGGACAGUGGAUGACCAGAUGGGUCGGGGGUUCCUGUGCAUCCUGCUGGGGACAGGGUCAGGGAAGCCCACGUCCUCCUGGCACAGUCGUCGGUUUGUGCUGUGGCAAUGCUAUGAAACAGCCCCAGAUUUCACUGGCUUCUAGAAUAAUCAAUUCAUUUUCUUGCUCCUGGUCCAGAGGGUCAGCUGGGGCUCUUCUGCUUCAGUGGUGGGUUCAGAUCUUUCCUCCUGGGCAUGUCCUUUCCCAGUGGAUAACACUGGAGCAAGAAGCCCACCCUGUAAGUGCUUUCAAAGCCUCUGUCUCAGUCAGGUCUGCUGAUGUUCCAGUGCCACAGCAUCACUUGGCCAAGCCCCAAGUCCCGAGUAAAGGCCUGUGCUUUAUCCCCUCCAUGGGGUGGCCCCGCGAGGUCACAUGACCAAGGGUAUGGAUGCGUAAUCCUAUUACUGGUGGCAGAGUGCAGAGUCAGGAGCAGCAGUCCAAUCUACACGCAGGUCCCCAGGGCCCCAGGCUGUCUCCAAAGGUAUGGGCGCAGAGACUCCAUUGGGCACCAUCGCGGCGAGCACAGGCCGCCACAGGCAGAGGCUGAAGAUUUUCCAAUCAGUUCAGCCUCAGAGGAAGAACCUGAAGCUCUGGGAGUUGGAGUGUUGCCUGAGGUUGCACGGCAGCCCCCUGCCUCCGCCCACCCUCACUGCCAUCCUGAAAACGGACAGGAGAGGGAGUUGAGGGGUCCGGCUCACCUUCCCUCUUCCAGCCUAGAGCACCUGCCUGCGAGCAAAGGAGAAACCCCCAGCCCUUUCUUUCCUCCAAGCCGCACUCAGUCUCAGCACACGCCCCUUUCCCCCAGAGACAGCAGGAAAUGCAGCCUGGGACUCGGGAUUCAGACUGCUUGCACGAGAGACCUCUCAGCGCUUGUUUAUGUCUGCAGCCCUUGGGCUGGCCUGAGGGCAUACUUUGUUUUUCUUGAUCGGUGUUUUGUUUGUUUGAAUGGGGCCAA